rnacentral:rRNA from 1 species
CUACGGGGCGCUGCAGUGAGGAAUUUUGCGCAAUGGGCGAAAGCCUGAUGCAGCAACGCCGCGUGGAGGAUGACACAUUUCGGUGCGUAAACUCCUUUUAUAUAAGAAGAUAAUGACGGUAUUAUAUGAAUAAGCACCGGCUAACUCCGUGCCAGCAGCCGCGGUAAUACGGGGGGUGCAAGCGUUACUCGGAAUCACUGGGCGUAAAGAGCAUGUAGGCUGGAUGACAAGUUGGAAGUGAAAUCCUAUGGCUUAACCAUAGAACUGCUUCCAAAACUGUCUUCCUAGAGUAUGGGAGAGGUAGAUGGAAUUUCUGGUGUAGGGGUAAAAUCCGUAGAGAUCAGAAGGAAUACCGAUUGCGAAGGCGAUCUACUGGAACAUUACUGACGCUCAGAUGCGAAAGCGUGGGGAGCAAACAGGAUUAGAUACCCUAGUAGUC